rnacentral:rRNA from 1 species
CCUACGGGGGGCUGCAGUGGGGAAUAUUGGACAUUGGGCGAAAGCCUGAUCCAGCCAUGCCGCGUGUGUGAAGAAGGCCUUCGGGUUGUAAAGCACUUUCAGUGGGGAAGAAAGCCUUGGGGCUAAUACCCUCGAGGAAGGACAUCACCCACAGAAGAAGCACCGGCUAACUCCGUGCCAGCAGCCGCGGUAAUACGGAGGGUGCGAGCGUUAAUCGGAAUUACUGGGCGUAAAGCGCGCGUAGGCGGUCUGAUAAGCCGGUUGUGAAAGCCCCGGGCUCAACCUGGGAACGGCAUCCGGAACUGUCAGGCUAGAGUGCAGGAGAGGAAGGUAGAAGUCCCGGUGUAGCGGUGAAAUGCGUAGAGAUCGGGAGGAAUACCAGUGGCGAAGGCGGCCUUCUGGACUGACACUGACGCUGAGGUGCGAAAGCGUGGGUAGCAAACAGGAUUAGAUACCCUGGUAGUC